AAAUAACUUAUUUUUAUUUUGUUCAUAAGGGGAGGGAAGAGAUUAUAUAAUUUAAAUUACUUUUAUACCCAAUAAAAAUAUUUACUUGAAUUACAAUGCCAUUACAAUAUAAUCAAAGCAAACAGAAACGUAACAGACCCAAUUUUAAGACAAAAACAGAAUGGCAGAGUCCCAAAUCGCCAAAGAACAGAGUCGGAAAUUACAACCAAAUCAAGGGCAAUCAGAAACUCGACCACGUCAGGAAAGAAACUCCAAAUCGUCAAAGAAACAGAGCCUCGAUUAAGAACGCAAAAAACAGACCCAAUUUUAAGCGAAGCUGAACCAAUUUUUCCACCCAAAAUAAGGGCGAACAGAGCCACGAAUCUUCCAGAGUCGGAAACCAAAUAAGAACACCAAAACCGGCACACUACAGAGGCGAAACACCGCCAGACCAUGCAAAAGAGGCGGUUGCAGAGAGAGGGGCUGGCAGUUGGUAUGAAGAAGGAAGUAAAUAAAAGAAGGGAAACCCAGGAUAAAAAAUUAAAAAUUGUAAUUUUUAGAUUUGUGUAGGGUUAUUUUUGUCUGAAAUUUAUUUCCCCUCCUAAUUCCCCCACUUUUGGGGGGAACAAAAAAUUGAGGUUGGAGGGAUUUUGCUCCCCUCCAUUUCCCUCCCCUCCCCUCCUAAAGUUUGAACCAAACAAAAUCAGAUUUUAAAAAUCCCUCCCCUCCCCUCCCCUCC
rnacentral:lncRNA from 1 species